GGAAAUCCGCUUAUGCCGGGCUGAAGGCUUGCCGUGAGGCCUUGUAUUCUUAAGGUCAGGGGUAAGGAGAGUGGUGUUGAUCGUCAGGUCCUAAACAGCUUUUAGGCUGCCCAAUCCCGUCAGGUCGGAAACGAAGCAGCGGUAAGCAGUUCUAAGGGGGUGUUUGGGGGCGCCUGGCCGGAGCUAUUUUCCUUAAGUUCCGCUUAAAGAAGACGGGGUCGAAGGCAAGGGCACGG
rnacentral:SRP_RNA from 1 species